AUUGAACGCUGGCGGAAUGCUUUACACAUGCAAGUCGAACGGCAGCACGGACUUCGGUCUGGUGGCGAGUGGCGAACGGGUGAGUAACAUAUCGGAACGUAUCCAAUAAUGGGGGAUAACUAAUCGAAAGGUUAGCUAAUACCGCAUACGCCCUACGGGGGAAAGCUAGGGACCUUCGGGCCUGGCGUUGAUGGUGCGGCCGAGAUCUGAUUAGGUGGUUGGUGAGGUAAAGGCUCACCAAGGCGACGAUCAGUAGCUGGUCUGAGAGGUCGACCAGCCACACUGGAACGGAGACACGGUCCAGACUCCUACGGGAGGCAGCAGUGGGGAAUUUUGGACAAUGGGCGCAAGCCUGAUCCAGCCAUUCCGCGUGAGUGAAGAAGGCCUUCGGGUUGUAAAGCUCUUUCGCAAGGGAAGAAAACUUACCCUCUAACAUAGGGUGAGGUUGACGGUACCUUGAUAAGAAGCACCGGCUAACUACGUGCCAGCCGCCGCCGUAACAC
rnacentral:rRNA from 1 species